UACGAAGGGGGCUAGCGUUGCUCGGAAUCACUGGGCGUAAAGGGCGCGUAGGCGGACUCUUAAGUCAGGGGUGAAAGCCUGAGGCUCAACCUCAGAACUGCCUUUGAUACUGAGAGUCUCGAGACCGGUAGAGGUAAGUGGAACUGCGAGUGUAGAGGUGAAAUUCGUAGAUAUUCGCAAGAACACCAGUGGCGAAGGCGGCUUACUGGACAACUCCUGACACUGAGGCACGAAAGCUAGGGGAGCAAACAGG
rnacentral:rRNA from 1 species